UACGUAGGGUGCGAGCGUUGUCCGGAAUUAUUGGGCGUAAAGAGCUUGUAGGCGGCUUGUCGCGUCUGCCGUGAAAAUCCGGGGCUCAACCCCGGACUUGCGGUGGGUACGGGCAGACUAGAGUGUGGUAGGGGAGACUGGAAUUCCUGGUGUAGCGGUGAAAUGCGCAGAUAUCAGGAGGAACACCGAUGGCGAAGGCGGGUUGCUAGGCUGACACUGACGCUGAUGCGCGAAAGCCAGGGGAGCAAACGGG
rnacentral:rRNA from 1 species